rnacentral:rRNA from 1 species
GUGGUGCAUGGUUGUCGUCAGCUCGUGCCGUGAGAUGUUGGGUUAAGUCCCGCAACGAGCGCAACCCCUAUUGUUAGUUUGCCAUCAUUCAGUUGGGCACUCUAGCGAGACUGCCGGUAAUAAACCGGAGGAAGGUGGGGAUGACGUCAAAUCAUCAUGCCCCUUAUGACCUGGGCUACACACGUGCUACAAUGGUUGGUACAACGAGUUGCGAGUCGGUGACGGCGAGCUAAUCUCUUAAAGCCAAUCUCAGUUCGGAUUGUAGGCUGCAACUCGCCUACAUGAAGUCGGAAUCGCUAGUAAUCGCGGAUCAGCACGCCGCGGUGAAUACGUUCCCGGGCCUU